rnacentral:rRNA from 1 species
GUGGGGAAUAUUGGGCAAUGGGCGAAAGCCUGACCCAGCAACGCCGCGUGAAGGAAGAAGGUUUUCGGAUCGUAAACUUCUAUCCUUGGUGAAGAUAAUGACGGUAGCCAAGAAGGAAGCCCCGGCUAACUACGUGCCAGCAGCCGCGGUAAUACGUAGGGGGCAAGCGUUGUCCGGAAUGAUUGGGCGUAAAGGGCGCGUAGGCGGCCUGGUAAGUCUGGAGUGAAAGUCCUGCUUUUAAGGUGGGAAUUGCUUUGGAUACUGUCGGGCUUGAGUGCAGGAGAGGUAAGCUGAAUUCCCGGUGUAGCGGUGAAAUGCGUAGAGAUCGGGAGGAACACCAGUGGCGAAGGCGGCUUACUGGACUGUAACUGACGCUGAGGCGCGAAAGUGUGGGGAGCAAACAGGAUUAGAUACCCCAGUAGUCC